rnacentral:rRNA from 1 species
ACUGAAACAUCUAAGUAGCCGCAGGAACAGAAAUCAACCGAGAUUCCGCAAGUAGUGGCGAGCGAACGCGGAGCAGCCUGCACGACUAAACCAUCAGCUUAGCAAAACGGUCUGGAAAGUCCGACGAUACAGGGUGAUAGUCCCGUAUGCGAAAAGCCGGUGGCGGGUCUGAGCGUGCGACAAGUAGGGCGGGACACGAGAAAUCCUGUCUGAAGAUGGGGGGACCAUCCUCCAAGGCUAAAUACUCGUGAUCGACCGAUAGUGAACCAGUACCGUGAGGGAAAGGCGAAAAGAACCCCGGGAGGGGAGUGAAAUAGAUCCUGAAACCGCAUGCAUACAAACAGUGGGAGCCCCUCCUUUAAUGGCCUUCGAU